UACGGAGGGUGCAAGCGUUGUCCGGAAUCACUGGGCGUAAAGGGCGCGUAGGCGGCUCAUGAAGGCUGUGGUGAAAGUCCGGGGCUCAACCUCGGAUCGGCCGUGGCGACUCGUGGGCUGGAGCACUGUAGAGGCGGGUGGAAUUCCGGGUGUAGCGGUGGAAUGCGUAGAGAUGUGGAGGAACACCGAUGGCGAAGGCAGCCCCCUGGGUCAAGAUUGACGCUCAUGCACGAAAGCGUGGGGAGCAAACAGG
rnacentral:rRNA from 1 species